AGUGAACGCUGGCGGCGUGCUUAACACAUGCAAGUCGAACGAGAACGGGUUACAGCUUGCUAUAAUUGUCAGCUAAGUGGCGCACGGGUGUGUAAUGUAUAGGUAAUAUGCCUCUUACUAAGGGAUAACAAAUGGAAACGUUUGCUAAUACCUUAUACUCCUUAUUAACAUAAGUUAAUAAGGGAAAGAUUUAUUGGAAAGAGAUUAGCCUGUAUUGUAUCAGUUAGUUGGUGGGGUAAUGGCUUACCAAGACUAUGACACAUAACUGGUUUGAGAGGAUGAUCAGUCACACUGGAACUGAGACACGGUCCAGACUCCUACGGGAGGCAGCAGUGGGGAAUAUUGCACAAUGGACGAAAGUCUGAUGCAGCAACGCCGCGUGGAGGAUGACACAUUUCGGUGCGUAAACUCCUUUUAUAUGAGAAGAUAAUGACGGUAUUAUAUGAAUAAGCACCGGCUAACUCCGUGCCAGCCGCCGCAGUAACAC
rnacentral:rRNA from 1 species